rnacentral:tRNA from 1 species
GCAUUGGUGGUUCAGUGGUAGAAUUCUCGCCUCCCACACAGGAGACCCAGAUUCGAAUACCGGCCAAUGCA